UACGUAGGGUGCAAGCGUUGUCCGGAAUUAUUGGGCGUAAAGAGCUCGUAGGCGGUCUGUCGCGUCGAAUGUGAAAACCCGGGACUCAACUCCGGGCCUGCAUUCGAUACGGGCAGACUAGAGUUCGGUAGGGGAGACUGGAAUUCCUGGUGUAGCGGUGAAAUGCGCAGAUAUCAGGAGGAACACCGGUGGCGAAGGCGGUUCUCUGGGCCGAUACUGACGCUGAGGAGCGAAAGCGUGGGGAGCAAACGGG
rnacentral:rRNA from 1 species